rnacentral:rRNA from 1 species
AUUGAACGCUGGCGGCAUGCCUUACACAUGCAAGUCGAACGGUAACAGGUUAAGCUGACGAGUGGCGAACGGGUGAGUAAUAUAUCGGAACGUGCCCAGUAGUGGGGGAUAGCCCGGCGAAAGCCGGAUUAAUACCGCAUACGACCUACGGGUGAAAGCGGGGGAUCGCAAGACCUCGCGCUAUUGGAGCGGCCGAUAUCAGAUUAGCUAGUUGGUGGGGUAAAAGCUCACCAAGGCGACGAUCUGUAGCUGGUCUGAGAGGACGACCAGCCACACUGGGACUGAGACACGGCCCAGACUCCUACGGGAGGCAGCAGUGGGGAAUUUUGGACAAUGGACGCAAGUCUGAUCCAGCCAUGCCGCGUGCGGGAAGAAGGCCUUCGGGUUGUA